ensembl:processed_transcript
AAUCAAAGAAUUAUUUGUAUUGGUCAUGUAAGGGUCAUAUACCAACUGAACUUCUACUGUUGUGUGUGAGUGCUGUGCGUAUGUAACAGCAUUUUUGCAGAAGUAGAUAGAUGCGGGUCCAAAAUUAAAUUCAGCUCUGCAGAAACUUCCUGUCUGAAGAGAGGUGUUAAAACUGAACACAGAACACAGAAAGUUGUAUGCUUUUUUUGUUGUGCAGAGAAUUCGCAGAAAAAGAGGAAGUAUGUCUAAGGUGCGGCCAAUGGAGGACUGAACAAUUACUGACAAAUGACGUUACACCAAAACUCCACCUGUUAAUAUCAGUUGUGUAUAUAUGCUGGAGUCCAGAAAUGUAUGUUAGUUGUGAACCUCUUGAAUGUAAUUCUUGUAUUGCAUUGGGGUAACCCAGAACUCUGUCAUCCAAUUAUUCAUUUGUAUCUAAUAAAUUACUAAUAUUUUUGGCAUUA